rnacentral:rRNA from 1 species
UACAGGGGGUGCAAACGUUGCUCGGAAUUAUUGGGCGUAAAGCGCGCGUAGGCGGCUACUUAAGUCGGAUGUGAAAGCCCUUGGCUCAACUGAGGAAGUGCACCCGAAACUGAGUGGCUUGAGUACUAAAGAGGGUCGCGGAAUUCCAGGUGUAGCGGUGAAAUGCGUAGAUAUCUGGAGGAAUACCGGUGGCGAAGGCGGCAUCCUGGACCGGCAUUGACGCUGAGGAGCGAAAGCUAGGGGAGCAAACGGG